rnacentral:rRNA from 1 species
GAUGAGCGCUAGCGACAGGCUUAACACAUGCAAGUCGAGGGGCAGCAUAGAAGUAGCAAUACUUUGGUGGCGACCGGCGCACGGGUGAGUAACGCGUAUGCAACCUACCUAUCAGAGAGGGAUAACCCGGCGAAAGUCGGACUAAUACCGCAUAAAACAGGGGCACCGCAUGGUGAUAUUUGUUAAAGAUUAAUUGCUGAUAGAUGGGCAUGCGUUCCAUUAGGUAGUUGGUGAGGUAAUGGCUCACCAAGCCGACGAUGGAUAGGGGAACUGAGAGGUUGGUCCCCCACACUGGUACUGAGACACGGACCAGACUCCUACGGGAGGCAGCAGUGAGGAAUAUUGGUCAAUGGGCGAGAGCCUGAACCAGCCAAGUCGCGUGAAGGAAGAAGGAUCUAUGGUUCGUAAACUUCUUUUGCAGGGGAAUAAAGUGGAGGACGUGUCCUCUUUUGUAUGUACCCUGAGAAUAAGGAUCGGCUAACUCCGUGCCAGCCGCCGCCGUAACAC